UUGAGAAAAAAAAAAAAUUAACAAGGUUUCCGUAGGUGAACCUGCGGAAGGAUCAUUACUGUGAUUUAGUACUACACUGCGUGAGCGGAACGAAAACAACAACACCUAAAAUGUGGAAUAUAGCAUAUAGUCGACAAGAGAAAUCUACGAAAAACAAACAAAACUUUCAACAACGGAUCUCUUGGUUCUCGCAUCGAUGAAGAGCGCAGCGAAAUGCGAUACCUAGUGUGAAUUGCAGCCAUCGUGAAUCAUCGAGUUCUUGAACGCACAUUGCGCCCCUCGGCAUUCCGGGGGGCAUGCCUGUUUGAGCGUCGUUUCCAUCUUGCGCGUGCGCAGAGUUGGGGGAGCGGAGCGGACGACGUGUAAAGAGCGUCGGAGCUGCGACUCGCCUGAAAGGGAGCGAAGCUGGCCGAGCGAACUAGACUUUUUUUCAGGGACGCUUGGCGGCCGAGAGCGAGUGUUGCGAGACAACAAAAAGCUCGACCUCAAAUCAGGUAGAAUCCCAUCCC
rnacentral:rRNA from 1 species